CUGUGAUACAGAGUGAUAAUGUCAGUGUUAAAUGUUUUAAAACCAGGACAUCAUGUAAGAAACACAAUAUAAACACGACAUUACCUGACUUUGGCAGAACAUACGCUGAUAUGCUGGUGAAAAAUAAAAGCUUUGUCAUCAGGUAAUACUGGUGUAACUUUGUGUAUUUCCUGAGAAGGCCCCACUCUCCUAGGCGCCCUGAACUACCCUCGGGCUCCGUGUAUUUUCUGGACAACUCGGCGCAUCGUUUGAAAGACGGUCAGACUUCAGAGGAGUUAAAUAAACCGAACAGGUUCAGAGGAAGAAAACAAGAUGGUGAAGAACAGGAGAGUAAAACAGUGGAUUCCUACAGCAUACCUGAACUGCUGCACGUCUGGACCAACCUUCCUGCUGGGAGCAAAAUGUUAAAG